rnacentral:rRNA from 1 species
AUUGAACGCUGGCGGCAGGCCUAACACAUGCAAGUCGAACGAGUGGCGGACGGGUGAGUAAUGUCUGGGAAACUGCCUGAUGGAGGGGGAUAACUACUGGAAACGGUAGCUAAUACCGCCUACCAUCGGAUGUGCCCAGAUGGGAUGAGCUAGUAGGUGGGGUAAAGGAUCACCUAGGCGACGAUCCCAAGCUGGUGUGAGGGGAUGACAAGCAACGCUGGAACGGAGACACGGGCCAUACUCCUACGGGAGGCAGCAGUGGGGAAUAUUGCACAAGGGGCGAAAGCCUGAUGCAGCCAUGCCGCGUGAAUGAAGACGGCCUUCGGGUUGUAAAGAACUUUCAGCGGGGAGGCGUUACCCGCAGAAGAAGCCCCGGCUAACACCGUGCCAGCAGCCGCGGUAAUAC